rnacentral:piRNA from 1 species
UCUUGUUUCAGACUCAAUUACUUGGAGUAGU